rnacentral:rRNA from 1 species
GAUGAACGCUGGCGGCGUGCUUAACACAUGCAAGUCGAACGGUGAACGAGGGAGCUUGCUCCCUCCGGAUCAGUGGCGAACGGGUGAGUAACACGUGAGCAAUCUGCCCUGGACUCUGGGAUAAGCGUUGGAAACGACGUCUAAUACCGGAUACGAGGCGUGGGGGCAUCCCCAACGCCUGGAAAGAACUUCGGUCCAGGAUGAGCUCGCGGCCUAUCAGCUAGUUGGUGAGGUAACGGCUCACCAAGGCGACGACGGGUAGCCGGCCUGAGAGGGUGACGGGCCACACUGGGACUGAGACACGGCCCAGACUCCUACGGGAGGCAGCAGUGGGGAAUAUUGCACAAUGGGCGCAAGCCUGAGGCAGCAACGCCGCGUGAGGGACGACGGCCUUCGGGUUGUAAACCUCUUUUAGCAGGGAAGAAGCGGAAGUGACGGUACCUGCAGAAAAAGCACCGGCUAACUACGUGCCAGCCGCCGCAGUAAGAC